GGGGAGAUGCCCGAGUGGUUAAAGGGGGCAGACUGUAAAUCUGUUGCCGAAGGCUACACUGGUUCGAAUCCAGUUCUCCCCACCA
rnacentral:tRNA from 1 species